rnacentral:lncRNA from 1 species
GCAGAAGUGAAAGGUGACUGUUAUUUGUUGCUACUCUGCCUAAAGGAGAAAUCCGAGUGGCCCCGGGGGAUUCCGGUUUGCAGCUGUCACUUAUUUAUUCAAGUGGAAGAAAAUCUGAAGGUGGUGGAGAUCUAGUCCUUAAAUCUCAAAGAGCAUGGGAGAAGAAAGGAUGAUAGGGGAGGCAUUCUGGGGUCACUGCGAGCUGAGUCACAGUGGGAAAGAAGCUAAGACCACAAGAGAUCUUGAGCUGGGCAGGGACUUCAGCAACAGAAGGAGGAGGAGGUGGAGAUGGAGUCCUGGCUGGUACUUUUAGAACUCGGGGGCUCAAAUAGAUUCAAUAAGAGCACAAGCGUUUGCUAUCAUUCCACGCGGUUGCCGCCGCCUCCUGCUCAGAAAGCUGCCGAAAGGCUGAUUCCUGGAUCACGCUUCCCCUGCGUCAGCCUGCCCUCUAGUGGAAGACGGCGGUGUGACAGGAGCGCGGCUCUUCCCCAUUUCCGGUCUUCAAAAUUGUCACUCUAACAGCUGCGGCACCGUGUUCAGGCAGAAUCAGUCCGAUUCUGAGCAGUGCCAUCCGUGUGCCCGUGCUGUUGGUCCAGCUUAAUCCAGGGAGAGAAUCUGGUAUAAUCAUGAAGUAGGUGACACACGUAUUCUUCCCUCAAACUGACAUAAGGAGUUCCUCUCUCCACCCAUCUUUUGAUGUGUAGAGUGUGACUGUGCGUUCAGUGUUGUUAUAGACUGGACACGGCAGCCAUUUGGGGCUGCUGAUUAAAAGUAGGUUACAACUGAAAAACUGCUCUUGGCUGGAGCAGGCCUGUCUCCCCACAAGGAGCAAGAACUAAACAGCUCACGAUUCUUGGCCCUGGGACACCCUCUCCUAGAUCCUAUAACCCUCCCACCCUGCCCUUUCGGCAGCCACUUUCUUUCUUCAGAAGGGGCCCAGUACCAUGGACUCGAUUUUUUCUUCCUGAGUCAUAGUCCCCAUCCAGGCAUGCUUCCUGCGAUUACCCUUUGAUUGGACUUCAUUCCUCCCGAAUUUCCUUAGCACCAUCUUCGAUUCCUUCCCCAGAUGUGCCUCUCAUUCACUGUGUGCAAAUUCACCCCAACUAGCACUCAUGGGUGAUUAACUUCCAUCUAACUUCCCAGGAAGCCCUUUACUAGCUGUGUGACUUUAGGCAGGUUAUUAAACCUCUCUGAGCCUUACUUUCAUUAUCUAUAAUGUUGGUAAAGCCUACCUUGGAGAGUUGUUUUGAAUUAAAUUGUAAUAGUAGUAAUAGCAGCAAAAGUUUAUUGAGUUUUUAUUGUGCCGGACACUAUGCUCAUCAUUUAACGUGCAAAUAUUUGGUUUAGUCAUCUCAACAACCCUUUCAGAUGAGAACUCUGACUAUUCCCAUUUUAUAGAUAAGGAAACUGAGGCGUAGAGAGCUUAGUGCCUGGCCUAUUAGUUGUAGCAGUUAUGACUGUAAUUAUGCAAUGUCAUGAGAAAGGCACGGGGCAAGGGAGUUCCUUGAGGGGUCAAGGAAAACUUGUACAAGGAGUCAUUUGCAGAUGGGUGGCUUUUCUGCUGCUUGGUUUGGUUUCUGUUUUUGUUGUAAGCCUAGUUCUUGGAAACUAUGCGUAUGGUUGCAAAGUAAAAAGUUGAAAAGCUUCCAGCACCAGGGAGUAACUAGUGAGUACCAUCCUGACGGAAGUCUCUCCUUGCGUAUACUGUGUAAAAAAGAGAUCAAGCUGUUUGUCUAUAUUAUUUCAUUUCUUCUAGUAAUAUUUUGUCUUUCCUGAUUUUCACUGAAAGGAUUGCCUUCAGCCCUUCCAGUAGUUUAAGCAUGGACCUUCCAGUUCUAGGGGAAUUUAUGGUUAGCCUUAAAUUUUUAACAGAGCUAUUUAAAGUUAUAUUUUUAUUUAACGUCAAAGACUGAUCAGUAUCUGUAGUCUUUCCCCUGAACCAAAAAUGCUUUCUCUUUUCUUCCCUCCUCCUGUUUCCUCUACUGUAACCUCCCAGGAUUCCCCCAGGUUUUGUUAAAAUCUUCUGCAACUGGAGUCUCAGUGGUUGAAUGGACCAUUUAAUAAGCAGAGAAAGAGGAGGUGGGUGGAUGACCGGAGCAAGGCUGCAGAGCGGCCCAGGGCUUGAGGACGGCUGGGCGGGGCCGGGGGCCUGGUGCGCGCAUGCCUUCACUGGUUCUGCAGACAUCCUCUGAGUUCCACCAGUGGUGUCUGCCCAGCACAGAGGAGGACCCAGGGGUGAGGGUGAGGAGUAGAGGAACCCAAAAUGUGGAGAGGCACCUGGCCUCACAGGAAUGACCUUCCGUGUGGGCUCCAGGCUCUGCAACCAGUCAAUACCUGAGCAGAGGAGUGGUGUGACUAGAGCUGACUUUUUAAAAUUAUAUUAAAAUACGUAUACAAAAUUUACCAUCUCAACCAUGUAUACAGUUCAGUGUUCUAAGUAUACAGUUCAGUAAUAUUCAAUACUUUCUCACUGGUGUGCAGCCAUCACCAUCAUCCAGCCCCAUAACCCUUUUCAUCUUGUAAAUCUGAACCUCCAUACCUAGUAAACAAUAACUCCCCACUGUCCCCUCCCCCCGGCCUGAGCUGACUUUUAGGAUGGGCUGGAGCAACAAGGCCUGUGGACAUGAGGCCAAUUAGGAGAUUCCUGUAACCGCCAAAGCAGGAGGUGAUGAGGAUCUCCAUGUGAGAAAGAAGGGCAAAAACAGGAAACAAGGUUCAUAAUUAAACAAAAGCACCUCCCUGUGCAUGAAGCAAGCACUGUGCCAGGCCCUGCGGGACUAUCUGAAGAGUCAUUUCCUCUCCUGGUGACUUGCCCAGCUGGAGUCAGCUCCUGGCACGUUUGAAGCACCUCCAUUCAAGGUGUCGGCCACCUCCUUCUGAGAGUAGUGAGAGAGAACCUAGUCCCUGCCUCUCUCCUUGCUUCUGGUAGCCUCAGACAUCCCUUGGCUCGUCGUAGAUGACGUUAUCCUUGUGUCUUUGCAUCAUCUUCCCUGUGUGUGUCUGUAACCAGAUUUCCCCCUCUUUAUAAGGAUGCCAGUCCCAUUGGAUUAAGGCCCACUCUAACGACCUCAUUGUAACUUGAUUACCUCUGUAAAGACUUUAUUUCCAAAUAAGUCACAUUCUUAGGUACUGGUGGUUAGGACUGCAACGUACCUUUUUGGGGAGACACAACUCAACCUGUAACAGGGUUGAACAUGGUCUCACCCUGAAUGACUGUAGCUCAAGCAGGUCCCAGCCAGGUGAGAAUGACAGGUGGAAAAGUCACUGAGCACCUUGUCCUCUCCCAAUCUGAUGACUUCAGAAUCUGUAGAGUGAACUGGCUCCCGAUUCACUGGCUUCUAACCUCACCUCACCUGGCUGCUGCCUAAUUUCGACCUUCCCCACACCUGCAUUGGCCUCCACAUGUGCCUUCACUUCAUUCUCGCGCACAACCUGGUCCACGAUCUGUUCCCUCCUUCAGUCUCUUGGUGAUAUUGAAGGUCUUCCUGGUUAACGACACACACUCUCUAAUAAAAGUGGGAUCAAUAAACGUAUCA